rnacentral:rRNA from 1 species
GUCGGAGGAAGUGGGGAUGACGUCAAAUCAUCAUGCCCCUUAUGACCUGGGCUACACACGUGCUACAAUGGGCGGUACAAAGGGUCGCGAACCCGCGAGGGGGAGCCAAUCCCAAAAAAGCCGCUCUCAGUUCGGAUUGCAGGCUGCAACUCGCCUGCAUGAAGCCGGAAUCGCUAGUAAUCGCGGAUCAGCAUGCCGCGGUGGAUACGUUCCCGGGCCUU